rnacentral:rRNA from 1 species
GCGACUGCUAUUUGGGUGAGGAUAAGCCAUGCGAGUUGAAUGGGAAACCUAAAAAUCCCAUGGCAAACUGCUCAGUAACACAUGAUCAACUUACCCUAUAGAGGAAAAUAACCUCGGGAAACUGAGGAUAAUGUUCCAUAUUUGAAUCGGCUUGGAAAAGUUUUUCAAUUAAAGGGAUAAGGAAAAUGGUUCUUAUCUGCUAUAGGAUAGGAUCGUGCUCGAUUAUGGUUGUUGGUGAGGUAAAGACUCACCAAGCCGAUAAUCGAUAGGGGCCGUGAGAGCGGGAGCCCCGAGAUGGGUACUGAGACAACGACCCAGGCCUUACGAGGCGCAGCAGGCGCGAAACCUCCGCAAUACACGAAAGUGUGACGGGGUUACCCAAAGUGUUCUAUUUAGAACUGUGGUAGGUGAGUAAUGUCCCCUACUAGAAAGGAGAGGGCAAGGCUGGUGCCAGCCGCCGCGGUAAAACCAGCUCUUCAAGUGGUCGGGAUAAUUAUUGGGCUUAAAGUGUCCGUAGCCGGUUUAGUAAGUUCCUGGUAAAUCGGGUAGCUUAACUAUCUAUAUGCUAGGAAUACUGCUAUACUAGAGGGCGGGAGAGGUCUGAGGUACUACAGGGGUAGGGGUGAAAUCUUAUAAUCCUUGUAGGACCACCAGUGGCGAAGGCGUCAGACUGGAACGCGCCUGACGGUGAGGGACGAAAGCCAGGGGAGCGAACCGGAUUAGAUACCCGGGUAGUCCUGGCCGUAAACGAUGCAUACUAGGUGAUGGCACGGCCAUGAGCCGUGUCAGUGCCGUAGGGAAACCGUUAAGUGUGCCGCCUGGGAAGUACGGUCGCAAGGCUAAAAC